AGGACGAACGCUGGCGGCGUGCUUAACACAUGCAAGUCGAACGGUAAGGCCCUUCGGGGUACACGAGUGGCGAACGGGUGAGUAACACGUGGGUGAUCUGCCCUGCACUUCGGGAUAAGCUUGGGAAACUGGGUCUAAUACCGGAUAUGACUACGAAUCGCAUGGUUUGUGGUGGAAAGCUUUUGCGGUGUGGGAUGGGCCCGCGGCCUAUCAGCUUGUUGGUGGGGUGAUGGCCUACCAAGGCGACGACGGGUAGCCGGCCUGAGAGGGUGUCCGGCCACACUGGGACUGAGAUACGGCCCAGACUCCUACGGGAGGCAGCAGUGGGGAAUAUUGCACAAUGGGCGCAAGCCUGAUGCAGCGACGCCGCGUGAGGGAUGACGGCCUUCGGGUUGUAAACCUCUUUCAGUAUCGACGAAGCGCAAGUGACGGUAGUACAGAAGAGGACCGGCCAACUACGUGCCAGCAGCCGCGGUAA
rnacentral:rRNA from 1 species